GUCCUCAUCAAGUUGGGCUGCAAAUCAGGGUGCCAGCAAGCCUGCCUUAGCAACUUGGUUUCCUCCUGCGUGAUGCUAUGCUAGCUGCUAAGAUGGGUCACUCAGACAACAAAGAAGGAUGCUUGACUUCUCCUGUGAUGCUAGCUGAACAUAAUUCUUCUUUUUGCAGUGUUCCUUUCUCUCUCUCUCUCUCAUGUGUGUAUGUGUGUGUGUAAAAUUCAUCAAACCAAAGACCCUCCUAGAUAUCAUUGUGGACGUGGCUUUUAAUGAUUUAGGGGGAAAAAAGAGAAAGAAAAAAAUGACAGCCUGUGGAGACAGCGAUUUGAGGAAGCAGCACACUGAGGUUAUUGCCAAUUUGAAACACUGGGUUUGUGAAGCCAAGUCCUAAGGGAGUAGCCGGGUAACUGAGAAAGAGAUCGUAGAUAAAGAAAUAAAAAUGACAAGCGUAAUGGAGGCUCUGCGAAGGGACUGUCAGAGCGUCAGUUCAUGGAUGGCAAUCUCGCCAGGCAGAGAUUGAAUAAUUCAUAGAUGGAAACUACCCUGCCUUCACCUUCCCAUUUAAACCGGGCAUGAGCUGAAUCUCUAAUAAAUUUUCAAGAUAAAGUAAAAUGCCAAUUUGAAUCUGAAGAGCUUUUAAAAGCAGAUGUCGCAUCCCCGAAUCUUUCGGUAUCUUUCACAAUUAUGCUCUGAGGACUGCACUUCAUCAGGAAGCACCAUUACCAGGCAAAAUGACUGUGAUUACAAUAGCAACAAUAGAAUGCCAUCAAAUGAUCUCUAAUUUACCUAAUUUGCUAAGACUGACUGGCUUAAAUACCCAUUGUGCGUUGCCAUGCCCAGUCCAUGGAUCUAUCUCAAGACAGAAUAAAAGUGGUGUGGUGUGUACGCUACCUUGAUUCACACAGUCCAGGGGAGAACGGUCCCCUAAGUUACAAUGUGUCUUUCAUCUGCUUUUUGUCUUUGUCCGGUUUGGUUUUUUUCCCCCCUGAUGCUUUGCCCUAAAUGCCUUUUGAGGGAAAAUGGCGAGCUGUCUUUGCUACAGAACAACACUGACUUGUUAAUUUAUACACUUCUUAAAUUUUAAAAUAUACAAGCAUGUGUCUGUUUGAGAGGAGGACAGAUUCAGUGCUGGGAGAGAGGUUUAACAAGCCAGCUGGGAGUGUGUGUGUGUGUGUGUGUGUGUGUGUGUGUGUGUGUGGUGUUUCCUCCAUAUGAAAUUCUUUCCCUGGAUUUGUGAUCCCUGUGGUUUGUUAAGAGCCUCUCCGAUUGCAAAUCUCAGGUAGCAGAGGCAGCAAUCACUCCAUAUAGCUCUUUCCCAGAGGCUGUGUGCCUGAUUCCAUGAUGCGUCAAGGCUUUAAGGCUGCGUGGCUGUGUUUGUGCCUGCUCAGUGUACAGAAAUCUGUGCUAAAGAGAACUUUUUGCCUGGCAGACUGCACCGUUCAUCUCCGGGUGACCGUGCCAUUCUGAGAAGGUGGCACGGACUGCCGCUCCUCUUCUGGGGAGCAGAGCGGAAUCAUUUAGCAGACAUGGGGGUUUCUGGAAUUGUCCUUAUAGCAUGGAGACAGCACGUGGUUCGUGCCAGCCAGCAUUUGAAUGUUUCAGGAAGGGAUCGGAGGGUUGAGUGGAGCCCAAGCUGGCCUCAAACUGGCUCUUUAACUGAGGAUGACCUUGAACUUCCAAUCCUGCCUCAUUCUCCAGAAGUCUGGGAUUACAGACCUGCACAAAGAGAGUGAGGAACACACUGAACGGGACAGAGAAACUACAUUAGUAGCGACCGGCCACUUAGCAACUGCUUUGCAGCUCAACUAUGGCUAUUUCAGUUUUGUGGUUUUAUGACUCAGAGAAGUGGUACUGAAUAGCACCAAGCACAUACUAAGUGCUUACCACCUACUGAUGGAUGAACACCGCUGUAAAGAAACUACAUUUGAAAAGAAUUGUGGUGGGGGUGGCUGUGCUGUCACAUGGAGGGAAGCAAUCAAACCAAAGGCUGGGACAAAAGCUGUGAACCGAAAUAGUUUAAAUGCAUUUAAGCUUAAAUCACUGCAUCCUUUCUCUUUUUGUGGGUUGAUUGUCUCAGGCAUUUUGUCAUAGCUAUAAAACACCAAUUACGCACCAGACAGUGUAUGAGAGUUACCACAUAUUUGCCUGUGUGUGCUCCGCUGCCCCUUGGAAUGGCUAUGUGACUUUGCCUACCAAAGGACCAUGAGCAGAGGGUGCCUAGCAAGGUUUCUCAACAUUGGAACAAUAUAUUCUGGAUCCACCUUUUUUUUUUUUUUUUUUUUUUUUUUUUUUUUUUUGUGGCAGAAUGAAAGAUUCCAAAGGUAAGAGCUCCAUGCUAAACAUGUUUGAAGAGGACACAGAAGCAUCUGGGGUCCUCCUUGCCAUGGCUGUUGCUAUGCAACAAGCCUUGACUGCCAAGGUCCGGAACUCUCACGAUAGAGGAUAGUCUUGUGGCUCUCAGACCUGAGUGGGCACCUGUGGUGAUUCAAAGGACUCUAGAAUAAGAAAAUCCGAAUGGAACCUAAAACCUAAUGUUCUAAACUCAGAUGGCGCUGAUCCACCCAUUGAAGACAACUAUCAGAAACCCUUGAACAACAGGACUGCUCUCCAUAGAAGCCACUGCCCUGAGAACCCUCACAGGCUCACAGAGCGAAUCUAAUCUCUCACCUCUAAGAAGGGCUAAGAGUUCACUGAGACACAAGAACUGAAUCCUGAGGCUUUGCAUAACCAUUAAGAAUAAUUCAUGCCCCGCCCUCUUUUAAAGGUGCUGUCAGGGACGCAACAUAACCAGUCAACCUCCUGCUUCUGCCACCAUGACUUCUCCACUAUGAUAGACUGCACCUGCUCAGACUGCUGACUUGAAACUCACUGUGUGGCCUCAGACUCACAGCCAUCCUUCUGCCUCAGCCUGCCAGGUGCUGGGAUGACAGCAUGAAACACCUAUCUGCUCUGAAGAGGCAGUUUUAAAGGGUCCUUCUCAUUGCUGGGAUAAGAAAAUGAAUGCUAAAGGAACAACAGAAGCAUAGGAAGAUGACAUAAGAUGACAUCGCCUUUAACUAAACAAAAGACCAGGGUGGGGACUGUAGACAUGGCUGUGUGAGCCAUGUGUAAGCAUAAGGACCCGAGUUCAGAUCUCCAGAACUUAUAUAAAAAGCCAAGUAUGGGAGUAAUGGCCUACAGUCCCAACAUUUGGAGGUGGAGACAGAAAUAUCUCUGCAGCUGGUCUAGCUGAACUGAUGAGGUCCAGGUUCAGGGAGAGACCCUGUUAAAACAAGGUAGAGAGCAGCCGAGAUGCCUACUCUAGCCUCCACAUGCAUACCGCCAUCACAAGUGCAGAUACAUAUAAAACUUUUAAAAAAUAAGUUCUUUUAAGAGAGGGCAAGGGUGGCACAGGGCUGUCGGCAUGGAAACAGGAGCAGCAAGAAACAGUUAGAUAGUGGAUAGAUGCUCUCGAAAGUGGGCAAACUAUUUGCAUCACGAGACCAAGGGUUUGGGCCUAACUGAAGGGAAGAAUGAAGCUGCCAUUGAUUGAGCUCAGAAUGACCACAGGGAGAACAGGUCGGCUGGUGGGAUCAGCCAUGAAGAUCUGAACCUGUUAGCCUUGAGACUCCUGUUGCUGGUGGUACUGGAUUAGAAGCAGAGGCUCAGAUAUCUGGAUGGCGGAGGCAGUAAAUAGGUGGCAUUUAAGCCCUGAAAUGGAUGAGCUCCUCCGUAAGUGAGUCAUCCCAUAUCUGAAAGUCAACUAAAAAACCAGCCUGGACCCAGUGAUAAGAGAUCAUUUGUGUGGGGAGAGAAAAAAGUCAUAACAGAGCAUGGAAACUCAACGAGUAUUUAUACUCCAGAUCCAGUUUUCACUAGACAUCUCAAAACGGUUCAAUAAAGAGUCAACACAGACAGUAAGGGCAGUGUUUGCCAAAGACAAAUCACAGCUGCUUCAGAAAGGGGAUUGGGACAGCCAUGGAUCACAGCUUGCCUGUUACACGGCCUCAUCCACUCUACAUACUCCAAGUAGACGGAGGAUUUAAGAAGAACCACAUACCCUCCCAUGACCUCUAGACGCUUGACGCUCCUGUGAGUUUAACCGUGUACUUCAACUGAUUUUGUUUUUCUAAAUAAGUACCUGUACUUUCGAUAAGACAUGCUAAGAAACAUCAACACACAUGGCAUAGAGCUUUAAAACAGUAAGAGCGUUUACAUUUUUCCAUCUGUGCAAUGAAACUGUUAAGAGACAAUGCUGGAUGUCUAGCUAUCUCUAUGUAUUGGUGGCCCUGGUGCCCGUACUCUCCUAGCUCACUGGCGGAAGUUCUAAAAGACCCUUAGAAGAGAAGAGUCCCCUCUAUCACUUGAGGACCAAAAAUCCAUUUUGCAACUGCAAGGCCGUGCAAAAAACUAAAAUGAAAAAAGAAAUUUUGCUGUCUGGUUUCGUGGAGUUUCCAGGUAGUAUCCAGAGGUAUGUAUGAGCUGGUAUGUCGGUCAUACUGAAUUUUCACUGAAUCCUCUCCACUCUUGACCCAGAACUCCCACCCGCAGUGGAACCUGUUAAAAUUAAACUAAUGGUAACACUUUGUUUAAUUUCAUGACUUGCAAGGAGAGCUCCCUCUCCAAGAACCACUGAUUGCUUUUGUUCCUUUCCUGGGGGCAAAAUGCUUUCAUACCCUUGAAGGGGAGGUCCUUCUCGGCUGAGCCAGCUGUCUCUCAGCAAAACCAAAACAUACGCUGAGCAUUGCUGUCAGCGGUUAAACUCACCGACAGGACCCCCACUCCCACAGCUGGCCACGCAAAUACAAGGGCCGGGUGGCCUUUUCUUGGAGUGAGUUAUGCUGGCUGGCGAAGUCUCCAUGCAGAAAUCUCUCCCAGACGUCCAGAGCCCUGCUGCCUGUAACCAGCAGUGAGCCAUUUUUUUUUUUUUCUUAUUAGCACUGUGUGGAAAACAUUCUUCAAAAGGGCUUCAUGUUGAAGUCAGCGGGAAGGUGGGAAGGAGGUGUCGCAUAAAGAGUAAGGAAAGGGAGCUGACAGCGAGGGGGUGGCAUACAACUGUGGGGGCCACAGUUUUAUUACGGGCUGUAUUGCUAUCCUGGUACAAACAGAGUAGGUAACAAUUAAGAGAGAAUGAUUCCAGUAUGGCCCAAACCCACAAGCUCAUGUCUAAUGUGGUCUUAUUAUUUGUUUAUAUGA